CCUACGGGAGGCAGCAGUGGGGAAUAUUGCACAAUGGGCGAAAGCCUGACGCAGCAACGCCGCGUGAGUGAGGAAGGCCUUCGGGUUGUAAAGCUCUGUCUUCUGGGACGAUAAUGACGGUACCAGAGGAGGAAGCCACGGCUAACUACGUGCCAGCAGCCGCGGUAAU
rnacentral:rRNA from 1 species